rnacentral:lncRNA from 1 species
CAGCACUCAACAUCUCCAACUUUCCACCCUUAUCCCCCAUCACUGUGAGUAACAGAUUUGCAGCAGUUUCUGUUAGUAAAGAAGGUCCUCCUAUGGAGGGAGAGGAACCACCAUCAACAUCUUACCAAUGAAGUGGUUAAUAUGGAAUAUGAGGGGUGUAAAUAAAAUGUAUAAGCAGAAAGAGGUUAGAGAAUAUAUUAGGAAAAACAAUAUUAACCUAGUAGGAUUAGUAGAAACCAAGGUCAAACAAGCUCAUGCUAGCAGAAUUACUAAUCUGCUUGCUCCAA